AUUGAACGCUGGCGGCAGGCCUAACACAUGCAAGUCGAACGAGUGGCGGACGGGUGAGUAAUGUCUGGGAAACUGCCUGAUGGAGGGGGAUAACUACUGGAAACGGUAGCUAAUACCGCAUACCAUCGGAUGUGCCCAGAUGGGAUUAACUAGUAGGUGGGGUAAAGGCUCACCUAGGCGACGAUCCCUAGCGGGUCUGAGAGGAUGAUCCGCCACACUGGAACUGAGACACGGUCCAGACUCCUACGGGAGCCAGCAGUGGGGAAUAUUGCACAUAGGGCGCAAGCCUGAUGCAGCCAUGCCGCGUGUACUAAGAAGGCCUGCGGGUUGUAAAGUACUUUUCGCAGGGAAGCGUUACCCGCAGAAGAAGCACCGGCUAACUCCGUGCCAGCAGCCGCGGUAAUAC
rnacentral:rRNA from 1 species